UGGGCAGGAGCCCCGGAGAGGAGAGCACGGCGGAUGGGGAAGGACUACCUGACAAGGAAGUCGUCCAGGCAGUCCGAGGACCGGCCGGGGGGCCGGCCGGCGCGGGAGGCGGGGGAGCAGCGCAGCGGCAGAGAGAGAGCACACAGGGAAAGCAGACUCCCCGCUGAGCAGGGAGCCCGAUGUGGGGCUCGAUGUGGGGCUUGAUCCCAGGACCCUGAACUCAUGACCUGAGCCGUAGUUACAUCUGUGGCUGGUACAGAACAUUUCCAGCCCCCGAGGCCCCGGGAGCCCCACCACGUUAGCACCUCUGCUUGCUGUCACCCCAGACUAGCUGUGACUGUUCUUGAACUUCAGGUAGGCUCCAUGCCCAACCUGGGGCUUGAACUCACGACCCUGAGAUUGAGAGUCACGUGCUCUACCAACCCAACCAGCCAGGCGCCCCAGUGUUUCUUCGAUGUACAAAAACAGCCCUCCACAAAGAGCUGCUGGAAUCGGGGAGUCUGGAGUCUGUGAACCUGGGUGUGAAAUAAUCACGUGCUGAUUGUCACUGAGUUUGGCAUUUCCCUCCUUUAUGUAAGUGAGCAAAAAACCAUCCAGGGCCUAGGCCUUGGUCACCAACAGUGUCACGGAUGGCUUCAGCCCAUGUUACAUUUAUUGUGGAAAUUUCAGAAUAUCAUUUAGACUCAAGUCAUGGUAGUUCUUAAAUCCACCACCAGAUAUUAUUAUUUAGUGUAUCAUUAAGAAGCACAUAUAUUAGCAUAUCACAUUUAAACAAUAUGUUGAGAAUUUUAAUGUAAUUGAUUUCCUUUGUAAUCUUAUGUAUUUUGCCUUAGGUGUUUAAAAACAUGAUACUGAGGGGCGCCUGGGUGGCUCAGUCGUUAAGCGUCUGCCUUCAGCUCAGGUCGUGAUCCCAGGGUCCUGGGAUUGAGCCCCACAUCGGGCUCCCUGCUCCGCGGGGAAGCCUGCUUCUCCCUCUCCCACUCCCCCUGCUUGUGUUCCCUCUCUCGCUAUGUCUCUCUCUGUCAAAUAAAUAAACAAAAUCUUCAAAAAAAAAAAAACCAAACAAACAUGAUACCGAGAAGGGGUUCUUCAGUUGUCAAAAGCCUAGUUUAGAUAAUGUUAGGAAGAUGAUGUGAUGUCUGGAGCCCUGGCAGCCACUUUUUUACUCUGUGGGGCUCAGCCUGAUGGCAAAGCUGACUCAAGAAUGGCAGAGUGAGGAGUGGGGGAAGUUUCAGGGUCCUUUCCCAGCUAUUACCAUAAUUAACCAGCCCUGGAAACUCCCCUCUUCGGGACUUCUUAUUUCUUGCCGUUAACUAAUGGCUUUGUUGUUUGGCCAGCUGAGUCAGGGUUUUCUUUCUUUCUUUUUUUUUAAGAUUUUAUUUAUUCAUUUGAGAGAGAGAGAGACAGAGAGAGAACAAACAUGGGGAGAGGCAGCGGGAGAGGGAGAAGCAGACUCCCUGCGGAGCUGGAAGCCUGACGUGGGGCUCGAAUCCAGGACUUGGAGAUCAUGACCUGAGCUGAAGGCAGACGGUUAAC